rnacentral:rRNA from 1 species
AGGGGUUUGAUCCUGGGGGCUCAGGAUGAACGCUAGCGGCAGGCCUAACACAUGCAAGUCGAGGGGUAACAGGGAGUGCUUGCACUUUGCUGACGACCGGCGCACGGGUGUGUAACGCGUAUACAAUCUACCUUGUACUAGAGAAUAGCCCAGAGAAAUUUGGAUUAAUGCUCUAUGGUCUAUUGAUGUGGCAUCACAUAAAUAGUAAAGGUUACGGUACAAGAUGAGUAUGCGUCCUAUUAGUUAGUUGGUGUGGUAACGGCACACCAGGGCUACGAUAGGUAGGGGCCCUGAGAGGGGGACCCCCCACACUGGUACUGAGACACGGACCAGACUCCUACGGGAGGCAGCAGUGAGGAAUAUUGGACAAUGGAGGCAACUCUGAUCCAGCCAUGCCGCGUGCAGGAAGACUGCCCUAUGGGUUGUAAACUGCUUUUAUACAGGAAGAAACGCUCCCUCGAGCAGGGAGUUUGACGGUACUGUAAGAAUAAGGAUCGGCUAACUCCGUGCCAGCAGCCGCGGUAAUACGGAGGAUCCAAGCGUUAUCCGGAAUCAUUGGGUUUAAAGGGUCCGUAGGCGGGCAAUUAAGUCAGGGGUGAAAGUUUGCGGCUCAACCGUAAAAUUGCCUUUGAAACUGGUUGUCUUGAAUUACUGUGAAGUGGUUAGAAUAUGUAGUGUAGCGGUGAAAUGCAUAGAUAUUACAUAGAAUACCAAUUGCGAAGGCAGAUCACUAACAGUU